AUUCUAAGCUAAUUUAGUUGGUGUAAUGUGGUCCCUCAAGGGUAGUUGCAGGUGCAUUCACUUGACCUCUACGAAGGAUGAACAUUUCCCAUGAGUUUUCCACUUGUGUUUCAUCCUUGCCUUUGCUUCAGUUUCCUGUGAGACAAAUUGGAGUUUGACAUCCCUCCUCAAGAUGCCUCCUCCAAGACCAGAGUUCCCUGUGGCUGAGCUGUGUGUGCAGAGAGCACCUUUCUCUCUCCUUGGGAAGCCCUUUGAAUGUAGAAACUCUGCAUUCCUCAUUCCUGUGCCCUCCCUCUCCCCAGUGGCUAGGACUUAACACCAAAGGGUGCUCAGGAAACAAAUGGAAGCAGGGCACUAACCAACUCCAGGAGGACUGGGAGCAUGUUUCCCGCUGAAUCCCUGCCAUCUUGACCACUGCCUGGCAAGAGAAGACACUCUACCAACAUUUUUUUAGUGCUGCAUCCCUUGGAGGGCAUGAGGCAAGGCCACGUGAGACACAGUCGGUGCUAGAUUCCUGGAGGCAGAGCUGAGGGUA
rnacentral:lncRNA from 1 species